rnacentral:rRNA from 1 species
AUGAUGAACUUUGACCUGAAUUGUUCUCCACCAGAAGAGGAUGAACCUGGACCUCAAGCAAAUACUCCACCUGCAGGAGAAGAAGUUGAUAUGGAACUCCAAGAAGAAGUUGACAUGGAACUCCAAGAAGAAGUUGGUAUGGAACUCCAAGUAGAAGAAGCAGUGCAUGGUCAAGCAGCAGGUGGUCAGCAGUUACGUAGGCAAAGAAAUUCAAUGCUAGAUGAGCAGAGAUAUGCUGCCUACAUGGCACUACAUACCAUGAAUCUGGCUAGGGGUGGAAAAUUCAAAAGAAAUGACAAGAAGGUUGUUGCUCAAAUUUUUCAAGUUGGUGUUCAACAUAUUCGAAAAAUCUGGACGAUAGCAGAGCGACAAAAAGCACUUGGUCAGGAGGUAAAUGUGUCCACCGGAAGGAAAGGAAGAUGCGGAAGAAAAGGAAAGGAUGAUACUCUAUCCAAAAUCCCCACAGUUCCUUUGAAUCGAAGGUCGACUCUCAGGUCACUUGCUCGCCAACUGGGUGUCAGUCAUACUACACUCUACAAAAAACUCAAGCUUCGCAAGAUUAGGAGGCACUCCAAUCAUUUGAAGCCAUUCUUGAAAGAAAAAAAUAGAAGAGAAAGGAUCAAGUUUUGUUUGUCAAUGCUUGACGAGACCACCUUAGCAGCUCCAAGACCUAAAUUCAUCAGUAUGCACAACAUUGUGCAUAUUGACGAAAAGUGGUUCUAUAUGACAAAAAUGAACAGAUGCUACUACCUCCUCCCUGAGGAAGCUGACCCAGUCAGAACUGUUCGGAACAAGAACUGUAUUGGGAAAGUGAUGUUUCUGACCGCUGUUGCUCGACCUAGAUAUGACGCUGAAGGCAAUAUGACAUUCUCAGGUAAAAUUGGUGUCUGGACCUUUGUGCAAGAGAUUCCCGCUGCCAGAAGAAGUGAAUAUAGAGCAAGAGGUACCAUUGAAAUCAAGUCCGACAACGUGAACCGACGGGUAAUGAGGAGGUAUAUGAUAGAAAAAGUGGUUCCAGGAAUAAAGAAAGUUUGGCCCGCAGAUGAUACUAAUCCAAUAUUGAUCCAGCAAGAUAACGCGAGAACGCACAUUCUUCCCGGUGAUGCAGAGUUUGCAGAAGCUGUAGCUACAACUGGUCUGGACAUUAAAAUAAUAAACCGGCCUCCAAAUUCUCCUGAUCUAAACGCACUUGAUCUUGGAUAUUUCAGAUCCCUUGAGUCUUUGACCGAUUGCAGAGCACCCACGACUAUCAAAGAGCUGAUUCAAGGUGUACAUGAAGAAUUUGAUGAGUAUGAUGCCGGGAAACUCAACAGAAUAUUUCUAACACUUCAGACCAUCAUGGUAGAGGUGAUGAACCAUGGAGGAGAAAAUUCAUACAAAAUUCCACAUUUGCGCAAGGAGAGAUUGGAAAGGCAAGGAAUCCUACCGCCUAGGAUUCACUUUCCCCGUGAGGUUUAUGAAAAUGCCAUGGAGAUUCUAGAACAAGAUAUCAUGGAGUAG